rnacentral:rRNA from 1 species
UACAGAGGUCUCAAGCGUUGUUCGGAUUCAUUUGGGCGUAAAAGGGGUGCGUAGGUGGCGCCGUAAGUCAGGUGUGAAAUUUCGGAGCUUAACUCCGAAACUGCAUUUGAUACUGCGGUGCUUGAGGACUGGAGAGGAGACUGGAAUUCACGGUGUAGCAGUGAAAUGCGUAGAGAUCGGGAGGAACACCGGUGGCGAAGGCGGGUCUCUGGGACGGUACUGACGCUGAGACGCGAAAGCAUGGGGAGCGAACAGG